CAAACUUAAAUUAAAGUAUAAUAAGCUGUGGUAUUCAUCUUUAAACGAUGACAGAAAAAAUAUGUCAUUUGGAAAUAAACUUAGAACAUACAGACUUUUUAAGAGAAAUAUAUAUGUUGAACCUUAUUUGGCUAUAGGUAAUAGGAAUCUGAGAAUUCAGAUGACAAAAUUCAGAAUUAGUAAUCAUGAUUUAGAAAUAGAGAGAUGCAGAUACAGGGGACUUCAGGCAAUGGAUAGAAUUUGUAAUCUUUGUAAAAAAGAAGUGGAAGAUGAACUCCAUUUUUUACUUAAAUGUUCAUCUUUGGAAAGUGAGAGAGUUUCCAUUAUUUCCAACAUAGUUAAAAGUUACAAAAACUUUCACAAUUUAGACUAUCAAUCACAAUUUAUUUGGCUAAUGUCCAAUGAAGAUAGUCACAUUUUUAAUCAAG
rnacentral:lncRNA from 1 species